UACGUAGGGCGCAAGCGUUAUCCGGACUUAUUGGGCGUAAAGAGCUCGUAGGCGGUCCGGUAAGUCCGCUGUGAAAGUCGGGGGCUCAACCCUCGAAUGCCGGUGGAUACUGUCGGGCUAGAGUGCGGAAGAGGCGAGUGGAAUUCCUGGUGUAGCGGUGAAAUGCGCAGAUAUCAGGAGGAACACCAAUUGCGAAGGCAGCUCGCUGGGACGUUACUGACGCUGAGACGCGAAAGCGUGGGGAGCAAACAGG
rnacentral:rRNA from 1 species